rnacentral:rRNA from 1 species
GACAGAGGGUGCAAACGUUGCUCGGAAUUACUGGGCGUAAAGCGUGCGUAGACGGUUACAUAAGUCGGGUGUGAAAGCCCCGGGCUCAACCUGGGAAUUGCAUUCGAGACUGCGUAGCUAGGGUGCGGAAGAGGGAAGCGAAAUUUCCGGUGUAGCGGUGAAAUGCGUAGAUAUCGGAAGGAACACCAGUGGCGAAAGCGGCUUCCUGGUCCAGCACCGACGUUCAGGCACGAAAGCGUGGGGAGCAAACAGG